rnacentral:rRNA from 1 species
GGCCUUGACAUACUAAGAACUUUCCAGAGAUGGAUUGGUGCCUUCGGGAACUUAGAUACAGGUGCUGCAUGGCUGUCGUCAGCUCGUGUCGUGAGAUGUUGGGUUAAGUCCCGCAACGAGCGCAACCCUUUUCCUUAUUUGCCAGCGGGUAAUGCCGGGAACUUUAAGGAUACUGCCAGUGACAAACUGGAGGAAGGCGGGGACGACGUCAAGUCAUCAUGGCCCUUACGGCCAGGGCUACACACGUGCUACAAUGGUCGGUACAAAGGGUUGCUACCUCGCGAGAGGAUGCUAAUCUCAAAAAGCCGAUCGUAGUCCGGAUCGCAGUCUGCAACUCGACUGCGUGAAGUCGGAAUCGCUAGUAAUCGCGGAUCAGAAUGCCGCGGUGAAUACGUUCCCGGGCCUUGCACACACCGCCCGUCACACCAUGGGAGUUUGUUGCACCAGAAGUAGGUAGUCUAACCGCAAGGAGGACGCUUACCACGGUGUGGCCGAUGACUGGGGUGAAGUCGUAACAAGGUAAGCGUAGAUGA